CAGAUAUUAGUUUAUUAAAAUAUUAAUUUUGGAGAUUAAUGAUACGAAUUUUUGUAUAUCUGA
rnacentral:tRNA from 1 species